rnacentral:lncRNA from 1 species
CAAACUUUAGCGGGAAAUCCCCACCUCGUUCAUUAGCUGGAGUCUGCGCAACAGUAACCAACGGGGCGGAGUUUAUAGAGUUCAGAGUUGUGGUUUCUCAGCAAUCAAAUCAACAUUAGGAUAAGCAAUGUAUCGAAAUUUCCAAUGCAGAGAAAGCCAGCUUUCAGGCAACACGUGUUAUAGUGGAAGAGAAUGUGUCUCACCAAGGCUGUAAAAGCUGAGCGCUCCAUAGUCAAAGAAGUAGCAGAUAUGCCGAGCACGAGUGGACAUGCUGCUGAAAGUGUGAGCACAGCUGGAGGCCAGUGGAUAAACACAGCACGAAAACAAGAAGACCAGCAAGGGCCAUGUGUACGCUUCAUUCCACACAUCCUCCAUCAACAACACCGUCAUCAACUUCCAGAGAAAAUACCUGACACAGAAACACAGAGAGAUGAUAAUGUUGACACAGCACCACAAUGCUGCAACUCACAACAAAUGAGUGAUCCAGCAAAACAAUAAUUCCAUGAAUCUUUCUGUUGUUGGAAACAACAUACACACAUAAGAUUUUAAUAUUUUCUUCACUUUUUCAGAGAUGGUGUGGAUAGACAUUUUCUUGCAUGGUUUUCAGACGACACUGACACUUUAGAAUCUAUAUUUAACCCUUGUAUUGUCUAUAUUGCCUUUGGUGUUCUCAUCAAAAAUGACCUACAACACUUAUCACAGUAGAGUGAUUUAAUGUUUAACCUGAAAGAUAUAUAUAUAC